AGUCUUGUGGUGUAUGACACGUCGGAUUGCAAAUCCGAAGAAGUAGGUUAGUAGCCUACCGGGGCUU
rnacentral:tRNA from 1 species